rnacentral:rRNA from 1 species
GUAGCCAAGUUUUUAAGAGCAUACGGUGGAUGUCUUGGCACCAGGAGCCGAUGAAGGACGUUGGAGCCUGCGAUAAGCCUCGAGGAGCCGGCAACCGGGCUGUGAUUCGAGGAUUUCCGAAUGGGGAAACCCGGCACCCGUCAUGGGGUGUCGCCUGCGCCUGAAUGCAUAGGGCGUGUGGUGGUAACGCGGGGAAGUGAAACAUCUCAGUACCCGCAGGAAGAGAAAGCAACAGCGAUUCCGUGAGUAGUGGUGAGCGAAAGCGGAUGAGGCUAAACCUGUUACGUGUGAUAGCCGGCGGGCGUUGCGUGAUGGGGGUUGUGGGAGCACUUGGCCGUCUCUGCCGGGGCGGCGAGGAGUUACAAAGUCUUGUGGUAGCGGAACAGUCUGGAAAGUCUGGCCGUAGCGGGUGACAGUCCCGUACGCGAAACUGCAGGGCCUCCUUAGUGAUUUCCCGAGUAGCACGGGGCCCGUGAAAUCCCGUGUGAAUCUGGCAAGACCACUUGCUAAGCCUAAAUACUCCCUGGUGACCGAUAGUGAACUAGUACCGUGAGGGAAAGAUGAAAAGCACUCCGGUGAGGAGUCGUGAAAUAGUGCCUGAAACCGUGUGCUUACAAGCCGUGGGAGCCUUUCGGGGUGACUGCGUGCCUUUUGAAGAAUGAGCCUGCGAGUUACGGUGCGUGGCGAGGUUAACCCGUGUGGGGUAGCCGUAGCGAAAGCGAGUCUGAACAGGGCGUUCAGUCGCGUGCUGUAGACCCGAAGCGGGGUGAUCUACGCAUGGGCAGGGUGAAGCGCGGGUAAGACCGCGUGGAGGCCCGAACCCACCAGGGUUGAAAACCUGGGGGAUGACCUGUGUGUAGGGGUGAAAGGCCAAUCAAACUCCGUGAUAGCUGGUUCUCUCCGAAAUGCAUUUAGGUGCAGCGUCGCGUGUUCCUUCCCGGAGGUAGAGCUACCGGUUGGACUAGGGGGCCCACAAGCUUACUGAAUUCAGCCGAACUCCGAAUGCCGGUGAAGCCAGAGCGCGGCAGUGAGACUGCGGGCGAUAAGGUUCGUGGUCGAGAGGGAAACAACCCAGAUCGCCGGCUAAGGCCCCCAAGCGCGUGCUAAGUGGGAAAGGAUGUGGAGUUGCAGUGACAACCAGGAGGUUGGCUUAGAAGCAGCCACCCUUGAAAGAGUGCGUAAUAGCUCACUGGUCAAGUGAUUCCGCGCCGACAAUGUAACGGGGCUCAAGCACGCCGCCGAAGCCGCGGCAGUCCGUCGUAUGACGGGCUGGGUAGGAGAGCGUCAUGCAGCGCGUGAAGCAGCAGAGUGAUCUAGCUGUGGAGGCUGCAUGAGUGAGAAUGCAGGCAUGAGUAGCGAAAGGCGAGUGAGAAGCUCGCCCGCCGAUUGACCAAGGGUUCCUGGGGCAGGCUAAUCCGCCCAGGGUAAGUCGGGACCUAAGGCGAGGCCGACAGGCGUAGUCGAUGGACAACGGGUUGAUAUUCCCGUACCCGUGCACGGCCGUCCGUGCUGAAACGGGUGAUGCUAAGCUCUCGGGUGAGGCCUUCGGGCGGAUCCUGGUUGCGAACCGAUCCUGCGGUAGGCAAGCUGGUGGAGAGACGCAAGAGGGUAGCUGUACCGGGCGGUGGUUGUCCCGGGGUAAGGGCGUAGGGCGAGUCGCAGGCAAAUCCGCGGCUCAUGAGCCUGAGACCUGAUGCCGAGCCGCAAGGCGAAGUCAGUGAUCCCAUGCUGCCGAGAAAAUCUUCGCAGCGAGGACGUGCGCGGCCCGUACCCUAAACCGACGCAGGUGGUCAGGCAGAGAAUGCCGAGGCGAUCGGGUGAACCGUGGUUAAGGAACUAGGCAAAUUGCCCCCGUAACUUAGGGAUAAGGGGGACCCCAGCCGGUGACGGGACUUGCUCCCCGAGCUAGGUGGGGUCGCAGAGGCCAGGGGGAAGCGACUGUUUACUAAAAACACAGGUCCGUGCCAAGCCGCAAGGCGAUGUAUACGGACUGACGCCUGCCCGGUGCCGGAACGUUAAGGGGACGGGUCAGCCAGCAAUGGCGAAGCUCAGAACUUAAGCGCCGGUAAACGGCGGUGGUAACUAUAACCAUCCUAAGGUAGCGAAAUUCCUUGUCGGGUAAGUUCCGACCUGCACGAAUGGCGUAACGACUUCCCCGCUGUCUCAACCGCGGGCCCGGCGAAAUUGCACUACGAGUAAAGAUGCUCGUUACGCGCAGCAGGACGGAAAGACCCCGGGACCUUUACUGCAGCUUGGCAUUGGCGCUUGGGACGGCUUGUGUAGGAUAGGCGGGAGACUGGGAAGCGCGGACGCUAGUCCGUGUGGAGUCACUGGUGAAAUACCGCUCUGGUCGUUUUGAGUGUCUAACCUGGGCCCGUGAUCCGGGUCAGGGACAGUGCCUGGCGGGUAGUUUAACUGGGGCGGUUGCCUCCCAAAAGGUAACGGAGGCGCCCAAAGGUACCCUCAGCCCGGUCGGCAACCGGGUGCCGAGUGCAAGUGCACAAGGGUGCUUGACUGUGAGACAGACAUGUCGAGCAGGAGCGAAAGCUGGGACUAGUGAUCCGGCGGUGGCAUGUGGAAGCGCCGUCGCUCAACGGACAAAAGGUACCCCGGGGAUAACAGGCUGAUCUUGCCCAAGAGUCCAUAUCGACGGCAUGGUUUGGCACCUCGAUGUCGGCUCGUCGCAUCCUGGGGCUGGAGCAGGUCCCAAGGGUUAGGCUGUUCGCCUAUUAAAGCGGUACGCGAGCUGGGUUUAGAACGUCGUGAGACAGUUCGGUCCCUAUCCGCUGCGCGCGCAGGAGACUUGAGAAGGGCUGUCCCUAGUACGAGAGGACCGGGACGGACUGACCUCUGGUGUGCCAGUUGUCCCGCCAGGGGCACGGCUGGUUAGCUACGUCGGGAAGGGAUAACCGCUGAAAGCAUCUAAGCGGGAAGCUCGCUUCAAGAUGAGGUCUCCCACCACCUUGAGUGGGUAAGGCCCCCAGCCAGACGACUGGGUUGAUAGGCCGGAAGUGCAAGCACCGCAAGGUGCUCAGCUGACCGGUACUAACAGGCCGAGGGCUUGGCUCUU